CGCCGUCGUGGCCGAGUGGUUAAGGCGAUGGACUAUAAAUCCCUUGGGGUCUCCCUGCACAGGUUCGAAUCCUGUCGAUGCGA
rnacentral:tRNA from 1 species